ensembl:lncRNA
GCGCUCCCGCGAGUGCAGCUGUCACCGGGGCAGCGAAGCGCGCUCCGAGCUCUGCGUCUGUCUCUCAGAGAGCGCGCGCGCGCGUGUGAGAGAGAGAGAGAGAGAGAGAGAGAGAGAGAGUUUUUGUAUUUGAACAUCAUGCUUCUGCAGUUCCGUGCCGUUUUGAGGAAACGUGCGUGCAGAAUCGCUGCUUUUUAGGUGCCUUUCUCAUAUCAGGAAGAAAGAGAGAGAGUCAGUGCAAGAAGCCUCCGGAGACACACACCCACCCCCCACGCAAACACACACACACACACACACACACACACACACACACACUGCGCUUUCACUCGCGCAGAAGCCGAGGAGCGAGAGACACGCACUGCUGUGUGGUUUGGAGUGCAAACACUCAUCUGAACGCACGAGUCGUGGAUUAUUACGCUAAGAACGCUUGGAAACCAUGAGCUGGGGAACCGAGCUAUGGGACUACACCACUGGUUGACACCAGUGACAUAUGACAAACUGUGUGAAGAAUUGUACAUAAGAAGUUUGGGAAUAGAAUAAUGCCCAACAAACUGCAGUUUGAUAAUCAGAAAAACAAGAAGAAGAAUAUGAAGAAUAAACAAAAAGAGGCAGAAUCCAAAAGAUCAAGAGAUCCGAACACAGUGAAAGCUGUUAGAUGGAGCAGCAUGGAGGCUCUGAAACCAGACCUGUCUGGUGAUCAAGCUGUAGAGUGUCAUUCUGAUGUAUCAGAGAAGGUCCAGACUGAGAGAACACCAGGACCUUAAACUCCAGAAUGUGAUUGGGGUUCAUUCAUCAACCUGCACAACUUUCCUCAGUUGUCUAGGAUCUUCAGACCAUCCUCCAUGGCUGCACAUUUGGAGCUGCACAUAUUGAACAGCAGUAAUGUUAAUGAUGACUGAUCAGGAGAUAUUUCAUGAAGUGUUUUGAAUUACACUUGCAUUGUAGCCACGUUAUUUUUUCAGACCCCACGUUGGGAACCGUUGUCGUCAAACCUUUAAGUCUUUUAACUGUUGUUUAAUUGACUUCUUGAUGUUACUGAAUUUGUUUAAAAAAUGUUUUGCUCUGCUUCAUAUUUAUUUGUAUCGGUUAUCUAUUUUUACGUCAUUGUUUUAUAUUAUAAUUGCCAAUCUUUUCCACUGACUACAUAAUUUUGCAAAAAGGUUUCAAAAAUAUAAGUAGGCCUAUUGGUUUAUGAAAAAGGUGUCAAAAGUUUUAAUUACCAAGAUUAUUUGUGGUAUUUUUUUUUAAGUCUUAAAGAGACAUUGUCUCACCCAAAACUAUUAUUAUAGUAUUAAUGCCUGGUGUGAAAACAAAAAGUGGUCUGAAAUGGCUUCCUAGAGUUGAAGAUUGUAUUUAUGUUGCCACCAGCAUCAAAAGAAAUUGAAUGUAUGUACGCAUGAAUUCAAUUUCUUGAGUAUGAAGUUUAAACAUGUUCUCUGCGCAUUAUACUAAAUAAUAUUUUUUUCUGUUUAAUAUUACAGUGUUCUGGACUUUAUACUGACAUUCAUCAAUGUAGAGUCAUGCACAAGCAAAUACAUCUUAAUAGCAGGCUUCUUUGUUUCCUGUGUGAUUGAUGGUCAUGUGAUCUCUAUGGUGGCUGUUAUUUGUGGAAUAAAACUGCUUUUGCUACACCCCUGGUUGAGUCU